CCGGCCGGGGGAGCCGGCCCAGGCGUCCGACUCCGCGGGGGAGGAGGCGCAGUGGGAGAACUGCGUCCUGGGAGGGAGACCAUCGCCGUGUCACGCGGGAGGGGUGAGCUUGCGAGGUCUCGCCUUAGUGCUCACCGGGACCCCUCUCGUUUUACAGAAGGGGAAACUGAGGCCGAGAGAAGGCACCCCAAGGCCACCGUACAAGCCAGAACCAGGACUCCGGGCCACUAGGCUUUCUACCUUUCCACGCCACUGUGCUCCGUGAGCACCAGCUAUUCCUGAAUCUGAGACGGAAGGGGUGGAGGGACAUGCAAGAAGCAGCCAACAAAAUGGCCCUCACAGAGAAGUGCUCACGUGGUGGUGGCUGCUAUGAUGUGCUUACUACGGGUCCUGCCAGAAGUGGCUGUCUGGAAUGGUCCUUGCUUUCUAUAGAAAUGGCUACUUCAGAGCACAACAGUUUCAAAACGUCGCCUCGGGGUCUUCAGCAACCUUAGCUCCUUGAGAGGACUGAUUGGCAAGACACGUUUCCUAGAUGCCAGACAGGAAAUGGAAGCCAAGCACAGGAGUGUUUGGGCUCGCGGUGACCAUCUUCAGCGUCACGCGAGCAUCUGUCUGGCACCUUGCAGGCUGGUGAGGCGAGUGUGAAGCAGCGCGCACUUCAUGGGGUUUCAUAUUUGGAGUGUAGCAAAUGCUACCUAGGACACCGUGCUAUCUGGGUAUGACUUGCUAAGAUGUCAUUGUGUCCAUUUGUCCAUGAGACAUCCCCCCACCCCCGCCCUGUGCUGUAAAGGUGCUGGUCCCCCCCAUGCCCACCCCCAGAUUCUCUGCCUGGAUCCUGGACAGUGGGUCACGUGGCCUCAGGAUGCCAUUGGCUGCAAUCCGGUGGGAAAGGGAGGUAUGGGGGUGGGGGUCCUAGAGGGGAGGAGGGCGUCGGGAGGGGCCGGGUGGCCCCAGAGGGGAUGAAUGAAAGUGAUGGGUAGGGUGCAGAGCUAGGGAGGAAGGUGUCACCAGCUACAUGAGAAUCAACAGCUUGGAGACCCUCUGUCACUCACAGAUCAACCUGCCCGCCCCCCCCCCAAAUGCUUCCAUGUGUUGGUAUCAACUUGUCAUUUUGGAUUUUA